rnacentral:rRNA from 1 species
UGGGGGAUAUUGCACAAUGGGCGAAAGCCUGAUGCAGCGACGCCGCGUGGGGGAUGAAGGCUUUCGGGUUGUAAACCUCUUUCGCUAUCGAACAAGGCCCGCUUAGGGUGGGUUGAGGGUAGGUGGAGAAGAAGCGCCGGCUAACUACGUGCCAGCAGCCGCGGUAAUACGUAGGGCGCGAGCGUUGUCCAGAAUUAUUGGGCGUAAAGGGCUUGUAGGCGGCGUGUUGCGCCUGCUGUGAAAACGCGGGGCUUAACUUCGCGCGUGCAGUGGGUACGGGCAGGCUUGAGUGUGGUAGGGGUGACUGGAAUUCCAGGUGUAGCGGUGGAAUGCGCAGAUAUCUGGAGGAACACCGAUGGCGAAGGCAGGUCACUGGGCCAUUACUGACGCUGAGGAGCGAAAGCAUGGGUAGCGAACAGG